rnacentral:rRNA from 1 species
CGCGUAGGUGGCUUUAUAAGUCUGGAGUGAAAGUCCUCUUUUCAAGGGAGGAAUUGCUUUGGAAACUAUAGAGCUUGAGUGCAGGAGAGGUUAUCGGAAUUCCCGGUGUAGCGGUGAAAUGCGUAGGUAUCGGGAGGAACACCAGUGGCGAAGGCGGCUUCCUGGCACACAACUGACGCUCAUGUGCGAAAGCCAAGGGGCAGGCGAACG